UGGAGGUUAUCAAGGAGACAGUGGUGCAUGGUUGUCGUCAGCUCGUGUCGUGAGAUGUUGGGUUAAGUCCCGCAACGAGCGCAACCCUUAUUGCUAGUUACCAUCAUUCAGUUGGGGACUCUAGCGAGACUGCCAGUGAUAAACUGGAGGAAGGUGGGGAUGACGUCAAGUCAUCAUGCCCCUUAUGACCUGGGCUACAAACGUGAUACAAUGGCUGAAACAAAGGGCAGCGAAGCAGUGAUGUGGAGCGAAACCCAAAAAGCAGUCUCAGUUCGGAUUGAAGUCUGCAACUCGACUUCAUGAAGUCGGAAUCGCUAGUAAUCGCGGAUCAGAACGCCGCGGUGAAUACGUUCUCGGGUUU
rnacentral:rRNA from 1 species